rnacentral:misc_RNA from 1 species
GAAAAAGGCAGAGGUUUUGAAUUUGUACAAGCACAAGUAACAGUCAAUUUAAGAACCUAGAAAACAAGCGAAAGGAGACUCCACAGGAACGAACGGAAAAUCUUGGUUUCCAUGGAUUCUGUCACUUUAGAAACCCAAGUCCAUGGGAAUGGAUCCACCAGCAUUCAAAAUCCGUUUCUCCAGUGCAUAUAAAUAACUGAGCUUCUCCUUCACACCAUAGAAUUCUUGCUCUACUUGUUGCAGGCAUCUUGAACACCA